UGGUGGACCUUCCCUCCUCAGCUAAACA
rnacentral:piRNA from 1 species